UCUUUAUAUCACAGCACUAUGGAAAAGGACUUGGGAGUCUUGGUAGAUCACAGACACAGUAUGAGUGUGUUGUGUGAUACAGCUGCACAAAAAACAGAUGU